rnacentral:misc_RNA from 1 species
CUGCCGUUGACCACUGUAAACUACAUAUUCACGAACACCCACCCACACGAUAAGAUUCAUGCUCCCUCUCUCAUACAUGGUGACAGGUCCCGCACGAGACCCCUCGCUACAGAAGAGAUAAUAUAAAUUUUCAUCCCAUGCAAUAAUUUCAAAACAAGGACUGAAUGUACGCAUAUGCACCUCAGUUAGAACCUAGGAUUAAGAUGC